rnacentral:rRNA from 1 species
CCUACGGGAGGCAGCAGUGGGGAAUAUUGGACAAUGGGGGCAACCCUGAUCCAGCCAUGCCGCGUGAGUGAUGAAGGCCUUCGGGUUGUAAAGCUCUUUUGGCGGGGACGAUGAUGACGGUACCCGCAGAAUAAGCCCCGGCUAACUUCGUGCCAGCAGCCGCGGUAAGACGAAGGGGGCUAGCGUUGUUCGGAAUUACUGGGCGUAAAGCGAGUGUAGGUGGUUUUCCAAGUUGGGUGUGAAAGCCUUGGGCUUAACCCAAGAAAUGCAUUCAGGACUGGAAGACUAGAGGACCGGAGAGGAUAGUGGAAUUCCCAGUGUAGUGGUGAAAUACGUAGAGAUUGGGAAGAACACCAGUGGCGAAGGCGGCUAUCUGGACGGUUUCUGACACUAAGACUCGAAAGCGUGGGGAGCAAACAGGAUUAGAUACCCUGGUAGUCCACGCCGUAAACGAUGGGUGCUAGACGUUGGCGAGCUGUCUCGCCAGUGUCGCAGCUACGUACGUACGCACCCGCCGUCGGGAGGUACGGCCGCGAGUAGAACGUACAAUAGAUAGACGCGNGAGACGUGCGACGGCGACGACGAGGGAGUAGG